rnacentral:tRNA from 1 species
UCCCUGGUGGCCUAGUGGUUAAGGACUUGGCAUUGUCACUGCUGUGGCACAGGUUCAGUCCCUGCCUGGGGAA